rnacentral:rRNA from 1 species
ACUUACGGCCAUACCAUCCUGAAUACCCCCGAUCUCGUCUGAUCUCGGAAGCUAAGCAGGGUCGGGCCUGGUUAGUCCUUGGAUGGGACACCGCCUGGGAAUACCAGGUGCUGUAAGUG